AACGAACGCUGGCGGCAUGCCUAACACAUGCAAGUCGAACGAGACCUUCGGGUCUAGUGGCGCACGGGUGCGUAACGCGUGGGAACCUGCCCUUAGGUUCGGAAUAACUCCCCGAAAGGGGUGCUAAUACCGGAUAAUGUCUUCGGACCAAAGAUUUAUCGCCUUUGGAUGGGCCCGCGUUGGAUUAGCUAGUUGGUAGGGUAAAAGCCUACCAAGGCGACGAUCCAUAGCUGGUCCGAGAGGAUGAUCAGCCACACUGGGACUGAGACACGGCCCAGACUCCUACGGGAAGCAGCAGUGGGGAAUAUUGGACAAUGGGCGAAAGCCUGAUCCAGCAAUGCCGCGUGAGUGAUGAAGGCCUUAGGGUUGUAAAGCUCUUUUACCCGGGAUGAUAAUGACAGUACCGGGAGAAUAAGCUCCGGCUAACUCCGUG
rnacentral:rRNA from 1 species